GACGAACGCUGGCGGCGUGCUUAACACAUGCAAGUCGAGCGGUAAGGCCCUUUCGGGGGUACACGAGCGGCGAACGGGUGAGUAACACGUGGGUGACCUGCCCUCAGCUCUGGGAUAAGCCUGGGAAACUGGGUCUAAUACCGGAUAUGACUCCAUGACGCAUGUUGUGGGGUGGAAAGCCUUGUGCGGCUGGGGAUGGGCCCGCGGCCUAUCAGCUUGUUGGUGGGGUGANGGCCUACCAAGGCGACGACGGGUAGCCGGCCUGAGAGGGCGACCGGCCACACUGGGACUGAGACACGGCCCAGACUCCUACGGGAGGCAGCAGUGGGGAACCUUGCGCAAUGGGCGAAAGCCUGACGCAGCGACGCCGCGUGAGGGAUGACGGCCU
rnacentral:rRNA from 1 species